rnacentral:lncRNA from 1 species
AAGUGAGCUUCAGGCCAGAGAAGCCACAAAAGGGCCAGCUGCGGGCCGUCCAGCGGCUGUGCCACUUCUACAGCGCCGUCAUGCCCAGCGAGGCCCAGUGUGUCAUCUACCAUGAGCUCCAGCUCUCCCUGGCCUGCAAGGUGGCCGACAAGGUGCUGGAGGGGCAGCUCCUGGAGACCAUCAGCCAGCUCUACCUGUCCCUGGGCACCGAGCGAAGACAGAGCCAGUUGUGUCACCUGCUUCCCUGGGGCAGGGUUUCAAGGUCUCACAUCCCACAUGUGGCCCACUUGGCUCUCCUGGAGCAUCCUGACCUGGUGGGGUAACCAUGGCCCUGGCCACCCCACCCACAGGGCCCAGUGACAUUGCUGCACUCACACCCCUUCGACUCACCAAGAGAGCAGGGAAGGAGCCGGAUUCCACAGGGACCCGGGAGAUCGGCUCCAGCCUUGGCCUCAGGUUCACAGCAGGAAAAUGGGCCAGUGUGUUAGAGCCAUGUUCUCAAAGUGUGGUCCCUGGACCAGCAGAGCAGCAUCCAUGU